rnacentral:tRNA from 1 species
AGCGCUUUGGUGUAAGGUUGCACGACAGGCUCAUGUUCUGUUAGACCAGUGUUCAAUUCCUGGAUGCGCUC